GAUAAUUCAGCUAAAAAUGAAAAACCCACUAAGCUAAUUACCUUUUUGGGUAAAGGGGGUUCUGGGAAAACCACUUCUGCCAUUUUUGCUGCUCAGCAUUAUGCAAUGGCAGGGCUCAAAACCUGUUUGGUGAUACAUUCUCAAGACCCCACAGCUGAAUAUCUUCUGAAUUGUAAGAUUGGGACGUCGCCAAUAACAUGCAACGACAA
rnacentral:misc_RNA from 1 species